rnacentral:rRNA from 1 species
GAUGAACGCUAGCGGCAGGCCUAACACAUGCAAGUCGAGGGGUAGCAGGAUUAAGCUUGCUUAAUUGCUGACGACCGGCGCACGGGUGCGUAACGCGUAUGCAACCUACCUUAUACUGGGGUAUAGCCCGGAGAAAUUCGGAUUAAUCCCCCAUAGUACUAAUGAAUCGCAUGGUAUAUUAGUUAAAGCAUUGCGGUAUAAGAUGGGCAUGCGUCCUAUUAGCUAGAUGGUGAGGUAACGGCUCACCAUGGCUACGAUAGGUAGGGGGCCUGAGAGGGUGGUCCCCCACACUGGUACUGAGACACGGACCAGACUCCUACGGGAGGCAGCAGUGAGGAAUAUUGGUCAAUGGGCGCAAGCCUGAACCAGCCAUGCCGCGUGCAGGAAGGAUGCCCUAUGGGUUGUAAACUGCUUUUAUUUGGGAAUAAACCUCUUUACGUGUAGAGAGCUGAAGGUACCAAAUGAAUAAGCACCGGCUAACUCCGUGCCAGCAGCCGCAGUAA